rnacentral:lncRNA from 13 species
CAGUUCAUCCUGUCUGUGUUAACUACCAACCCCAAACCUCAUGUCAGUUAACUACCAACCCCAAACCUCAUGUUACAGAUCAACUUGUUUACAUGUCGUUUUUGAGGUUUAUUCUGAUUCAUGGGAAAGAUGUGAAAACGUGACGAUGUCACGGAUUUAGGUCGUCUUUUGAUAAUCCAUGACGCGUCAAUCACUGUCUUUUUAUGGAUUUAGUGAUAAUCAACUGUUUCAGGGGCACCGACAAAAAUACAACGUCAUAUUAUAGAUGAAAUGUGGAAAUUGGUUGACGUGCUUUGAUUGGUCAAGAUGAGUUCAUGACGACGAGGGCGUCACGGGUUGAAAGAGGAAUGGCUGUUGCCCUGGAGUUGGAGGAGAGUGACGUUGGCAUUAGACGCUGACCCUGGGUCAGUUUAACAUUUCCCCAAACAUAUGGUUAAUGCUAGGAAUGGGGGAAGGGGAAGCUGAUCCUACAUCAG